rnacentral:rRNA from 1 species
GAUCAUGGCUCAGGAUGAACGCUGGCGGCGUGCUUAACACAUGCAGUCGGGCGAAGCACUUAGGAAAGAUUCUUCGGAUGAUUUCCUAUUUGACUGAGCGGCGGACGGGUGAGUAACGCGUGGGUAACCUGCCUCAUACAGGGGGAUAACAGUUAGAAAUGACUGCUAAUACCGCAUAAGACCACAGCACUGCAUGGUGCAGGGGUAAAAACUCCGGUGGUAUGAGAUGGACCCGCG